rnacentral:rRNA from 1 species
UAGGGAAUCUUCCGCAAUGGACGAAAGUCUGACGGAGCAACGCCGCGUGAGUGAAGAAGGAUUUCGGUUCGUAAAACUCUGUUGUUAGGGAAGAAAAAAUGUAUAGUAACUAUAUACAAAAGAGACGGUACCUAACCAGAAAGCCACGGCUAACUACGUGCCAGCAGCCGCGGUAAUACGUAGGUGGCAAGCGUUGUCCGGAAUUAUUGGGCGUAAAGCGCGCGCAGGUGGUUUAGAAAGUCUGAUGUGAAAGCCCACGGCUCAACCGUGGAGGGUCAUUGGCAACUAAUAAACUUGAGUGCAGGAAAGAGAAGUGGACUUCCUAGUGUAGCGGUGACAUGCGUAGAGAUUAGGAGGAACACCGGUGGCGAAAGCGGCUUUUUGGCCUGCAACUGACACUGAGGCGCGAAAGCGUGGGGAGCAAACAGG